rnacentral:rRNA from 1 species
AUUGAACGCUGGCGGCAGGCCUAACACAUGCAAGUCGAGCGGAUGAAGGGAGCUUGCUCCUGGAUUCAGCGGCGGACGGGUGAGUAAUGCCUAGGAAUCUGCCUGGUAGUGGGGGAUAACGUCCGGAAACGGGCGCUAAUACCGCAUACGUCCUGAGGGAGAAAGUGGGGGAUCUUCGGACCUCACGCUAUCAGAUGAGCCUAGGUCGGAUUAGCUAGUCGGUGGGGUAAAGGCCUACCAGGGCGACGAUCCGUAACUGGUCUGAGAGGAUGAUCAGUCACACUGGAACUGGGACACGGUCCAGACUCCUACGGGAGGCAGCAGUGGGGAAUAUUGGACAAUGGGCGAAAGCCUGAUCCAGCCAUGCGGCGUGUGUGAAGAAGGUCUUCGGAUUGUAAAGCCCUUUAAGUGGGGAGGAAGGGCAGUAAGUUAAUACCGUGCUGUUUUGACGUUACCAACAGAAUAAGCACCGGCUAACUUCGU